rnacentral:misc_RNA from 1 species
GAUGAAGAACGUAGCGAAAUGCGAUACGUAAUGUGAAUUGCAGAAUUCAGUGAAUCAUCGAGUCUUUGAACGCACAUUGCGCCCCCUGGUAUUCCGGGGGGCAUGCCUGUCCGAGCGUCAUUGCUGCCCUCAAGCACGGCUUGUGUGUUGGGCCUCCGUCCUCCUCCCGGGGGACGGGCCCGAAAAGCAGCGGCGGCACCGCGUCCGGUCCUCGAGCGUAUGGGGCUUCGUCACCCGCUCUUGUAGGCCCGGCCGGCGCUUGCCGACACAUCAAUCUUUUUUCCAGGUUGACCUCGGAUCAGGUAGGGAUACCCGCUGAACUUAAGCAUAUCAAUAAGCGGAGGA